GUGGCGUUAAAUCACGCAGGCAAAUGAUGCUGACCGCUAUUUUCACGCGUUGCACCGCGUCAUACGCACCGAACUGAAUGGACCGACGCGUCACGACGCCUUCUUAUUGUUCAUAAAUAGUCCUGCCUGCGGUUUCGCACUCGUCCACGAUCUCUUGUGAAUCAAACUAUGUGGAAUGUUUUCUCGAGAUCCAUCGAGCGACGAGGAGUGCGGAUGAUCCGCGCCGUAGCUAUAGCUACGGACGAAAACGUAGGAGGACUGAAUCACGCUCUACUCGGCCAAACCGGGUAAAUAAGAACCCUCGUCCGUAUCGAAUCGCGUGCAUGAAUAAUCUUUGCAGGAAAUUCGCGAAAAAUCCUAACGGAGGAUGCGAUUGAAUUUGAACGUGCGUCCGUGAAAAUUUCCAAACGUUUCCCCAUACCUAUGAAAGAAUUCCGUUACUCCUCCUUAUUAUAAAUUCCAGGCUUGAUUACCGGCGAAUGAGAUAGAUAGAGAACGUGGAAGCAGCCAUCUCUCUGGCUCCACCUCGUGCAAAGAUCGAAAAAUCCAAAAUGAUUUAGCAGAGCGAACGAGAUGAUCGACAAAGACGAUCUCUUUUCAGUCUCCGAUCGACUUUUACUCCGCAAUAGUCGUGAAAUAAAGAAAUCUACGAACAGCAACGUUAAAAUGUUAAAACGAAAUUAAACGGCGAUGAGAACGUAAAAGCACGUAGAAGAGAGCGGAGAAGACCGGUGUUGAUGACAAAGUGUGUCAAUGUCAAAUUGUUCGAGCCUCCAGACGAUAUUUCAGGCUUCUCUUACAGAGAGCGAAUCGUCGAUCUUUUCGUCUGUGUUUCUCUCAAACGUUCACCGAAUUCUUAAGUUUCUCGUCGGUCUUGCGUGGGAGAACGUGGUUAACAUGACGUCACCUAUGUGGGGGUUUUACUGAUCGAUAAAACGCGUCACAAUCGUCGCUAAUAUGGAUUGGUCUUACGUCCAUUCGUUACGUAGCGAGUUGUCGCUGUACGUGUUGCUCAAUCCCGAGGUCAUCAUGUUGGAAGCGUCGUUUCGAUUUCACCAUUUUGGGACAAAUCCAUUAUGCAACAGCAUUGAAUGGGGAUUACUGGGAAACUAAAAAAAUGAAAUUUUCAUAUAUAUAUAUAUAUAUAUAUAUAUAUAUAUAUAUAUAUAUAUUAGAUCGUUAAUAGAAAACUUUUACACUCACUCUUUUGGUAUCAAGAAGAAAGAAGGGUCAUAAAGUUUCUCAGUAGCCUGUACAACGUUAACUACGAUUAAAAGAAAUUUAUUUACUUUCGCUUUGAAGAGGAAUUUCUACUCGAACAAUAGGAAAUAUGUACAGAAUCUGAAUCUAAGAAUAGAUUAAAACAGGAAACGAGCAUGUAUCGUAACUUUGCCACGAAAAACGAUUUUUACCACGCGUUUAAAAGAGCCAAUUUCCUAAGCUUCCAGCUUAUGUCGAAAUUGAGUUACUCGUGCAACACAAUUCGUUGAAUAAUUACAUUGUUAUGCCAGACAAGGAGACAGAAGCGAAACAGCUUGCCAGGCAAUUAUAUGUAGCGUGGCAUGCAGAAGAAAACAACUAAACGGAGGUUGUAGAAAAGAUAGUACAUACUAUACAUACACCUCUUCGACACUACUGACUAUUAAUAGCUGACAAAGUCCGACAGAGAGCCAUAUCCGAGGCCAGAUUCGAUCCAAGGAAUUCUUUAAUCGUUCGACCCUUUCGACCGUCAUUCUUCCACCAUUCAAUGUCGAGGGUACCGCGCGAAUUUUCUUCGCCUUUCUCCGCGCCAAGUUCCUCCGAUAUCAUAAAGAACCGGAGAACGGAAACCAACGAAAACCAAAAGUUUUAAAAAUUGAUUCAAAAACUUUUGAGAAGCGAUAAACGACUCUGUGGACGUAUCUUAAAUUUUGCAUAAACUCAUCUAGAAAAUAGUUUGUCUCGAAAAUAAUUUCCUAGCUUUUAGGACAACAAGAGUAAACCAAAGUUUCAUUACGUUAAUUAACGUUAAUUAAUGUUACACGAGCAAACAAAGAGAGAACCGUUCUUUGUUCCAGACGUUCGCGCGGUUAGAUUACAAAUAAUUUGUUAGAGUGGACAGUAGGUGUUGAUAACACAACCGAGAUGGUAAAAGAUAAUUUCAUUCAAUACUUCGGUAGCAAACAGGCAAUGAGCGCUUAAUAGUCAUUUGUACUUGGCUUACUUAGAACGAUUGAACGAGGAGGUUGACUUGACUGGUGUCGUGGUACGACGACUUCGCAUCGCCACUACUGACUUGAGUACAAAUGGGGACUUGAGGUUAACGCGCCAUGAUGUCACUCUCUGAUAUCAUAGUGUCCAUCUUUUAUUCAGUAAAAUUGCCGAGCCUUCGACCAGAUUGUUCCCUCAAUUUCAAUCUUCACGAUAAUUCAGUAGCACGUGUAUAUGGUCGGCACGUGUGACGUGACAUACUGUAUAUUCUAUACACGAUACAUCGUAUAUAUAACUAACGAAACACUCGAUUAUAUUUAAUGUUUAAUAAUAUUACGUGCAUAAUAUUACGUCUAAUGUACCAUUAACGGUUGAAAGAAAAUUUCAAGGGAAAUUGUAAAUAAAACAACUGUAAUAACAUCAGGCGAGUUUACCAUAUCAGGAAGGAUAAAUAUUAUAGCGCCGAAUUUUCAACCAUUUCUUUGCAAACUUGUGAAACUUGAUCCUAACCGGUUUGUUGUAACAUUCGCGCUACGUGAAUUUGCAAUACGAUCCGGCUGCAACUACUUAUAGCAUUCACGCACGUUUGUAUUUGCUGUAUACACGAUCUAUAGCUCAAAUGAAUUUUUAGUGCUUAAAUUCUCGGCGCUCGGUAUUUGCGCACAAACGUACCCAUUACAUCAAGACAUCUAAAUAUUAUUAUCAAUGAAACAUGGUAGCAUAGAGGAUAACUUUCUUUUUUCUUUUAAACCGUUUAUUUAUAUAGAUCGCAUUGACAAUGUCAUAUUUGAUAUCGAUGGUCGAUGAUCAUCCUUCAUUUUGCUACACGUGCGUGAAAACAAUGUUAGUACACGCGAAUAAACGUAGCCAUAUAGCCAAUGUCACUGCCACGAAUAAACUGACAAUAUGUAAUGCGAUGACAGGUGCCCGUAAUAUACUCGGUCAAUUGUGCAAGAGUAAUUUCUUUGUAAUUUGCUUUUCUUAGUACACUCUGAUAUUAUAACUUUUCCAUUGAAACCUUCGACACUGACAAGCAAAUAAGUAUCUUAAUAUUUCAUUCAGCUGUAUCUACUAAACAACGACAAUGUAAAUAAGUCUGUAAGAAAUAUAAAUACGACGUUAUUACUC